UCUGUUUCUACAAAAUGGUCAAAAAUAUUUUUAGAUUUCACAAGCUUCUUAAUAUUUUUUUUUUGUUGUAUUAUUUUUGAAGCAUCUUCCUAAUGUAUUAAAUAUUUUCUGUUCAACUUUUAUGAACUGGGAAGCAGAUUUUGCCAUCAAUUAUUUAAACUUUUUAAAUAUCAGAUGUCUUAAUAAAAUCUUGUUUUUGAAAUUACCAGUUAAUGAAAUUUGGAAGUAUUUUAAUUGCCCAGUAAUAUCAUGACCUCUAGAUGGGUUCUGUGAGGGGCCAAUGAAUCUUGCCCUGCUGUGGAUUUGAAGUCUUUGCAAACAUGACUUUCUAGACCUGCUGUUAAAGCAGUUUACAUGCUCUUGUUGGAAAGUUCUAGGAUAUGUUUCUGGAGUGCCAAAUUAUUUUUGCAGUUUUAAUGAGCUUAUUAGGAGCUUUUAGGCUCUUGUAUGGUUUUUAGUUUGAUUGUACAUCUAAUUUUUAGGGCCCCUAAAGCUUUUGCAAGUGGAUGAUUUUGUCUAAGGAAAUAAUCAGAAGUUGUUCUCACUGAGGAGUUAACUCACACUGUCCUAAGAAUGGCCUCUCAUUUUUCAAGGUGGUUUUGAUUUGUGUGGCUCUUCUGCUCUUCCAUCUCUGCCUCCUCUUCCCCCAACUCUCAUACCCAUUUGAACAGAAAGAAGGGUGGGUGUAGUUUUUUUUUUUUGUUUUUAAUUGUUUACUGAAAGGGUAGGGUCAAAAAGUCUUUUUAACUAGUAAAUUUGUAGCAAACUAACUUGUUUGUGUGACCACAUCAUCCUCAGGGUUGCCUUUUCUUUCUUUUAUACUAUGGGGCUCUUAACCCUUCACUAACAGUUGAAUGCAUUCAUGAGUUUAAAAUGUGAUGGUAUACAUGAAGGCUGAUUCAAGAGGAGUAUAAAAAAUCUUUAUUUUUUCACGGUUUUCAUGUGUUUUUUCCAGUAAAAAAA